rnacentral:rRNA from 1 species
UAGGGAAUCUUCCGCAAUGGACGCAAGUCUGACGGAGCAACGCCGCGUGAGUGAUGAAGGUUUUCGGAUCGUAAAGCUCUGUUGCCCUAGACGAAUAGCAAGAGGAGUAACUGCCUUUUGUGUGACGGUAUAGGAGAAGAAAGCCCCGGCUAACUACGUGCCAGCAGCCGCGGUAAUACGUAGGGGGCAAGCGUUGUCCGGAAUUAUUGGGCGUAAAGCGCGCGCAGGCGGUCAGUUAAGUUUGGUGUUUAAGCCCGGGGCUCAACCCCGGUACGCAUCGAAAACUGGGUGACUGGAGUGUAGGAGAGGAAAGUGGAAUUCCACGUGUAGCGGUGAAAUGCGUAGAGAUGUGGAGGAACACCAGUGGCGAAGGCGACUUUCUGGCCUAUAACUGACGCUGAGGCGCGAAAGCGUGGGGAGCAAACA